rnacentral:misc_RNA from 1 species
GAUGAAGAACGUAGCGAAAUGGGAUAAGUAAUGUGAAUUGCAGAAUUCAGUGAAUCAUCGAAUCUUUGAACGCACAUUGCGCCCGCGAGUAUUCUCGCGGGCAUGCCUGUCCGAGCGUCAUUUCAACCCUCAGGGCCCGCCUGCUUCGGCAGGCGCGGCGCUGGUGUUGGGGAUCGGCCUAACCGCCGUCCCCCAAAUACAGUGGCGGUCUCGCUGCAGCCUCCCCUGCGUAGUAGCAACACUCGCAUGCGGAGCGCGGCGCGGCCACGCCGUAAAACCCCCGACUUUCUGAACGUUGACCUCGGAUCAGGCAGGAAUACCCGCUGAACUUAAGCAUAUCAAUAAGCGGAGGA